UACAUGGAAAACAGUGAAACUUGGUGGGUGGAAAAGGUCUGAGCUGCUGGUGAGUAACAGGAGAAACAGCUCACACUCAGGACAUCAGCAAAGCAGCUCAACCUUCCUUAAUGCAUUCCUUUUGAUGUUCAAGUGGGUAAAUCAGGAGGCAAUCACUGCAAAUCAUAUAUUAAAUCUGGUGAUUGAAAUUAUCCCUGAAAUACAACGAGGCAGGGCUGAAUACAUUAAACCCAUUACCAGGCGACCAGGUGACAGGCAAGACUCUCUUUGGGAGUCUUCUGGGUGCUGACACCGGCAUCGGUAGGCUUCAGGGGCCAAAUUCCUCCCUCGUUGCCUUGAUUCCAACAGAUUCAUUAAGACCCAUCUACUCAAUCGUAUGGCGGAUGCUCCCUCUGCUCUGGGAUCUUCCUUCUUAUCUAACUCCACACGAGCAGGACACCGCAGAGACACCGAGCACUUAUUACAUCACCCGCGGUAACAGCGGGCCUCGAAAUAAAGACCAGGACUCCCCGGGCUGCCAAAGUGCAGUGACGCCGCUCCAUGGCAACUCGGCCCCUCUCCUCCCGCACGCGUGUGUGCCCACGGCCACGGGGGGAAAAAAAACCCCAAACCACCACAGCGCCCGAGCCACCGCCGCGACACCGGGCAGGAGCGGGGGCUGAGCCGGGAGGGGGCACCCGCAGAGCCCCCGCCCAGCAUCCCCCGGCCCCGCGGGGGUCCGCUGCGGGGCUGCCCCGUCUGAGCGAGCCGGCGGGGUGGGAGAGCAGCCGGCAGCAUCCCCGGCGCGGCCAACAGGUCGGUUCCCGUUAAGCGCCGGGGGGGCUGCAGGGAGCCCAGCGGGGGCACCCGGCGCUUCACCCCUCCCGCUGGAGCCUCCCCCCUUCCUCGACUCACCUCUCCACCAGCCGGCUCCGCCGCUACAGGUUGACUGCAGAAGAGUCUGCAAUGGGAGCCAAGCACACGAGUCAACUAAAACUGCCUUUGCUGGACCCAGGACACAGCCUGGAAACACCUCCGGCACCUACAGCAACACUCCCACAACCAGACUUGGAAGCCGGGCGGUGAUUUUUGGGCACACCAAGGUCUGACCUGAUGGAGGGAGGAGGAUGGCCACAAGCAAAUGCAGACACGUGUAGGGGAUUGAAGAACAAAUGUGGGCUCUGGGAGCACUAUCUUCCUCCCUUGUCAUCAAAUCUGAAAAUCUCCUGCCAUGCCCCAGAAAGCCUCUGUAAGUUAAAGGGGAGAGCAUGCCCCAGCGCAGCACUACCCCAGAUUUUUGCAUGCUAGGGCAAAAGCAUGAAGAGUAGUUUAGAUGCCACAGGGGAAAAAAA